rnacentral:lncRNA from 1 species
CUUAGGGCUAAGAUAGAGCAGCCAAUGAAGAACCUUGCCUCCAGGGCAGAGAUCAGUGUUUUUUGGUGAGAGUUCUCCGUGAACAGCAGUGAAAUUGCUCUGGUGGCAUGGUGGGGAACAUGCUGGAAAGUUUUCUUUUAAGGUGCUAGGAAAAUCUGUUCAUGGGGAGGUGUCUUGCUGGAGACACUGCUCUAUGAAACUGCCUGGGAGGUGCCAUGGGAAGCUGCUGGAUGCUGCUGGCCGCCAUGCACUGCAGGAGCCCGAUGCCAGCAAAGGUGUGCACCACAGGAGCUGGCAAUACAGGAGCUACCUGUGCUGCAGGAACCAGCCCAGAGGCCCCACAGAACUGACUGGGGAUAGGAAUGGAGAAGAAGGGACAAUUGCUUUCCCCAAAAUGGUUUCUUCAGGACAGAACUUAUUAAGCACUCUUACCUACUAUCACCCUAAUGGACACAGGGACACAAGAUACAUGGCCCAGAUGCAGCACUGUCUACUCUAGCUGUCAGCUCCUUCUCGGACUGCCUCAGCUGCAGAGAACUAACCCUUCGAGGAUCACACCCUUCUCAGAACAACUUAUAUCUCCUCUGGUGACUGACAGAUGUAAGGAUAAGGGCUGGCCAUUUCUGCCCCAUGUGGAGUACUCUGGUGAGCAUUGUUCACCCCAGGGUGCCCUGUUGGGUUGGUUGUGGCUAUCCUGUGUCACAGUUCAACUUCUCCCUCUGCCUGAUCCUGCAUCCUCCUCCAUGCUUUCACAGCAAAUAAUCCCACAGAAUCCUGGUGCUGUGAGGUUCAGAAAAAUGCUAAUUCCAGCAGCUUGAAGGCACAGAUACAGCCCUUGGUCAGUCCAGCACCUCAGUCUCGAUCAUGAAUUUUGCACCAAUUUAAUAACUCUACAAAAUUAGAACAGCUUCCCAGAUUGAAUAAAAAAC